AACAUGGGAAAAUGUGAGUGUAAGGAAUGUCCUUCUGGCUCAUGCUAUAGUUGUUUAGCUCAGGGGUUUGUCUCCAGCAGAGCAGGAGAAGCUGUUCAAGGAAAACACAUCCAGCCUGGCCACAUCCCACCAUCCCUUCCUCAUUCCAUCACUUCCCCUCCUGCCUCCCCAGCACGCAGCAGUGGGGUGUUGAGGGGGCCCUGCCUGUUACUGGUUAUCUCCUUCCCUUUUGCUGCUUGAGUUUUGAAUCCACCUGUCUUUUCCUUAAACUAUCUUCUGCUUCCAGCACUUGCUGACAGCAGGAGGCUGGGAGGAAAAGUGGGAUGUUUCGGGUAACUUCUUACGUGUGUGUGUGUGUGUAUUCCCACGCAGGUGAAUGCAGGUGAAUACAGGUCCCUGUGUCACUCCGCGUUAUGUUUCAAGAAUUUAUGGAUAGAAGCAGUGAAUUUAGCCAAAUGGGAACCUGAAGCUGGUCUCUCAGGGCAGAGCUUUCACUGACAUCCCUUUGGCAGCUGGUUUCCUUGCAACAAAAUCUGUCACAGAAAAAUAGAGAUUUUACUUGUUUGACUUCUAAGCAUAAAGCUUUAAGUGUUGAACUGUUUCAUCUGGAUUGACUUCUCUCUGCAGAGCUGGAGCACCUGGUAAAUAGCACGUCUGCAACUUAAGCUGAGGCUUGCAAGGAACUUCACUGAGUUUAAUAAAAGUUAGUCUGGGGCUUCCUGGUGGAGGUGGCAGUGGAGCUCUUCAACAAACUUACCUGCAGUUCUGUUUGAAGGUGUUGGAGCAGAUUCUGUCCCCAAGCCCAGCCUGGGCGUGUGCCAAAGAAAGGUGAUAAAAGAGAGCAGAGCAGAAAUGGUUUGGUUGUAGGAGCAGUGUUGAGUCCUGGGCCUCGGGGGGCACGGAUGGGGCACGCGCUCGUGCUCGUGGGAUUUCAGGGCUGUGCUGGAGCCUGGGACCAGCCACGGCAUGGAGGAAGGAAGAAAACCCAGCUCCAAGGAGGACUGUGAAGGUAGUGCAAUGGCAGGACUGGCGGCACAAUGCCAAGGCACACGGCGCGCGUGCCUGGGGUGCACCCUGGGCCCUAUCCCUGGAUUCCAGGACGGACAUCCUGGCUGCUUGAGCUGCCUUAGAUAAAACCUGUUGAAGCCUU